UUACACCCUUGACAUGUCCGGAAUCCCGAAGAGAUUUGGGAGUGCUCGCAAGAGAACCGGAACACAGGUGCUGCAUGGCUGUCGUCAGCUCGUGUCGUGAGAUGUUGGGUUAAGUCCCGCAACGAGCGCAACCCUUGUCAUUAGUUGCCAUUCAUUUGGUUGGGCACUCUAAUGAGACUGCCGGUGACAAACCGGAGGAAGUGGGGAUGACGUCAAGUCCUCAUGGCCCUUAUAGGUGGGGCUACACACGUCAUACAAUGGCCGGUACAGAGGGUAGCCAACCCGCGAGGGGGAGCCAAUCCCACAAAGCCGGUCGUAGUCCGGAUCGCAGUCUGCAACUCGACUGCGUGAAGUCGGAAUCGCUAGUAAUCGCGGAUCAGCAUGUCGCGGUGAAUACGUUCCCGGGUCUU
rnacentral:rRNA from 1 species